rnacentral:rRNA from 1 species
AAUAGAUACCCUGGUAGUCCACGCCGUAAACGAUGAGUGCUAAGUGUUAGGGGGUUUCCGCCCCUUAGUGCUGCAGCUAACGCAUUAAGCACUCCGCCUGGGGAGUACGGUCGCAAGACUGAAACUCAAAGGAAUUGACGGGGGCCCGCACAAGCGGUGGAGCAUGUGGUUUAAUUCGAAGCAACGCGAAGAACCUUACCAGGUCUUGACAUCCCAUUGACCACUAUGGAGACAUAGUUUUCCCUUCGGGGACAACGGUGACAGGUGGUGCAUGGUUGUCGUCAGCUCGUGUCGUGAGAUGUUGGGUUAAGUCCCGCAACGAGCGCAACCCUUGUUCUUAGUUGCCAUCAUUUAGUUGGGCACUCUAAGGAGACUGCCGUACAAAUACGGAGGAAGGUGGGGAUGACGUCAAAUCAUCAUGCCCCUUAUGACCUGGGCUACACACGUGCUACAAUGGGUGGUACAAAGGGCAGCAAACCCGCGAGGGGGAGCGAAUCCCAAAAAGCCACUCUCAGUUCGGAUUGCAGGCUGCAACUCG